AUCCAGCUGACCAGUCCUAAAUAGGAUGAGACGCGUGUUCUGAAU
rnacentral:hammerhead_ribozyme from 1 species